UAUUUGGACAUAUCUGCACAUAUUUCCCACACAGGGUUUUUGCAUACCAGGUUUGAAAAACCAUGGACAUGGUGCAAGCUGAAGUUGACUUCUGCUGCAAACUAGUCAAAUGUGUUUGCACAACUUUUCUAGCAUUCUCCAGCCUCCCCAAAGCCUCACCACCAGAGAACAGUGUCUCCUUCAACCUCUGAUGCCAUCAGAAGAGGCUGUUCUUUAUGGGCAGCAUUCAAGGAGGAUCCGUGUCACUGGAACGAGAAUGAAGGUCCUCUCAUCACUUCACACGUUUUACAUUUCUCUUGGAAAAGUUAUCUUUCUGGGAAUCAUUGUUCCUCCACUUUUCAAAAAAGGAUAUCGAUAAAACUUGGAAAUUUGAA